rnacentral:rRNA from 1 species
CCAGUUCGGAUUGUAGGCUGCAACUCGCCUACAUGAAGUCGGAGUUGCUAGUAAUCGCGGAUCAGAAUGCCGCGGUGAAUGCGUUCCCGGGUCUUGUACACACCGCCCGUCACACCAUGGAAGUUGGGGGCGCCCGAAGUUGGUCGAGGAAUAGAUUACCUAAGGCGAAACCAAUGACUGGGGUGAAGUCGUAACAAGGUAAC